rnacentral:misc_RNA from 1 species
GGAGCUUCUUGCAUUGGGAGAGCAGAUUGGCACUGCAAAAACUGGGUUAUCGGAGGAGGUUAUUGUUGGCCAUUUGAAAACAAGAUCAUUUUCAUCCACGGAAAUUCCUUGCAAUUUGGAAAAUGCUGCAUGUUUAGAUCACAAGACUGAUUUUUGUGUCAUUUGCCAGUCUGAUUACAAGGACCAAGAGAACGUGGGAACUCUUGAUUGUGGGCAUGAAUAUCAUGCAGAGUGCGUAACAAAUUGGUUGAUUCUGAAGAACAAUUGUCCCAUUUGCAAGUCCACAGCCUUGUGCGCAGAAGCAAAGGAUUCCUGAAAAUAGGCGAUAUAUGAUCACCUGAAUGAACUAAAGAGCAAACAUUCUGAAUCUGUUGCUAAAUAUUUAUUCUCCGAUGAGUAGGAAACGUUACUGAAACUGUACAAAUGUACUGUAUUUUUGUAUAUAUA